AUACGGAGGAUCCGAGCGUUAUCCGGAUUUAUUGGGUUUAAAGGGUGCGCAGGCGGGAGAUUAAGUCGGCGGUGAAAUUUUGCAGCUCAACUGUAAAAGUGCCUUCGAAACUGGUUCCCUUGAGUGUAGAUGAAGUAGGCGGAAUUUGUGGUGUAGCGGUGAAAUGCAUAGAUAUCACGAGGAAAUCCGAUUGCGCAGGCAGCUUACUAAACUACUACUGACGCUCAGGCACGAAGGCGUGGGGAUCAAACAGGAUUAGAUACCCUGGUAGUCCACGCAGUAAACGAUGAUUACUAGCUGUUUGCGAUACAAUGUAAGCGGCUGAGCGAAAGCGUUAAGUAAUCCACCUGGGGAGUACGUUCGCAAGAAUGAAACUCAAAGGAAUUGACGGGG
rnacentral:rRNA from 1 species